rnacentral:rRNA from 1 species
UACGUAGGGCGCAAGCGUUGUCCGAAGAUUAUUGGGCGUAAAGAGCUCGUAGGCGGUCUGUCGCGUCCGUUGUGAAAACUCGAGGCUCAACCUCGGGCUUGCAGUGGAUACGGGCAGACUAGAGUGCGGUAGGGGAGACUGGAAUUCCUGGUGUAGCGGUGGAAUGCGCAGAUAUCAGGAGGAACACCGAUGGCGAAGGCAGGUCUCUGGGCCGCAACUGACGCUGAGGAGCGAAAGCAUGGGGAGCGAACAGG